UGGAGCGUUGCCAGAGAGGCCUAUUGGCGCUGCUUGGAAAGCAGAUGGUCGGGCAACCGGCACGAAGGUUCGAAUCCUUCACGCUCCGCCAA
rnacentral:tRNA from 1 species